rnacentral:rRNA from 1 species
CCUACGGGAGGCAGCAGUGAGGAAUAUUGGUCAAUGGCCGGAAGGCUGAACCAGCCAUGCCGCGUGAAGGUCAGUGCCCUAUGGGCGUUAAACUUCUUUUGUGCGGGAGCAAUAAUGGUCACGUGUGGCCAGACGAGAGUACCGUACGAAUAAGCAUCGGCUAACUCCGUGCCAGCAGCCGCGGUAAUACGGAGGAUGCGAGCGUUAUCCGGAUUUAUUGGUGUUAAAGGGUGCGUAGGCGGGCUGUUAAGUAAGCGGUAAAGGCCCGGGGCUCAACCCCGGCGAGCCGUUGAAACUGGCUGUCUGGAGAUGUCGAGAGGUAUGCGGAAUGCGCAGUGUAGCGGUGAAAUGCUUAGAUAUUGCGCAGAACUCCGAUUGCGAAGGCAGCAAACCGGCGGCGAUCUGACGCUGAGGCACGAAAGCGUGGGGAGCAAACAGGAUUAGAUACCCCAGUAGUC